rnacentral:rRNA from 1 species
GGUAAAAAAGCUCGUAGUUGGAUUUCUGUUGAAGACGACCGGUCCAUACCACGUAUGCGCAUCUGGUUCGGCUUCGGCAUCCUCUCGAAAGACGUUUCUGCGCUUGAUUGCGUGGAGCGGAUCUCGGGACUUUUACUUUGAGGAAAUUAGAGUGUUCACGGCAGGCUAUCGCCAGAAUACAUUAGCAUGGAAUAAUACUAUAGGAUCUCGGUUCUAUUUUGUUGGUUUCUAGAAUUGAGAUAAUGAUUAAUAGGGACAAUUGGGGGCAUUCGUAUCAACACGUUAGAGGUGAAAUUCUUGGAUCGUGUUGCGACGAACUACUGCGAAAGCAUUUGCCAAGGAUGUUUUCAUUGAUCAAGAACGAAAGUAAGGGGAUCGAAGACGAUUAGAUACCGUCGUAGUCUUUACCAUAAACUAUGCCAACUAGAGAUGGGACAUCGUUCACUUAAGACUUGUUCCGCACCUUAUGAGAUAUCAAAGUCUUUGGGUUCCGGGGGGAGUAUGGUCGCAAGUCUGAAACUUAAAGGAAUUGACGGAAGGGCACCACCAGGAGUGGAGCCUGCGGCUUAAUUUGACUCAACACGGGGAAACUCACCAGGUCCAGACAUAAUAAGGAUUGACAGAUUGAUAGCUCUUUCUUGAUUUUAUGGGUGGUGGUGCAUGGCCGUUCUUAGUUCGUGGAGUGAUUUGUCUGCUUAAUUGCGCUAACG